UGGCCUGCUGGGACCCAAGUCACCAGGUCCCGCCGGCCAGUCGGAGACUCCGCGCCUCAGCUUGCCUGAUCUCAUCCUCCGAGGAUGAUGGGAACGCUGACAUCCCUAGCAGCACCAUCAGGCUGGGAGGAAGGUGGACAUGCGCCAUCAGGGAAAAAGCCUUACAGGAGGGUGAUUUGGGUUUGGUGUGGGACCUUGAUUGCUUUGCGGCUCCAGUCAUUAUGAACCAAGGGACGGAACCGUGAUGGGAGCACAUUCCCUACACCGAGGUGAAGGAGUUGAAAAAGACGGCCAAGGACUAUGGCUGCAAUUCACCAUAUUUUAAAAAUGUUCUAGAUCUAACUUUUACUCGACACACCUUAAUUCCCCGUGAUUUACAAUAUAUUACUACCGCAUUGCUCUCUCCCACUGAAUUUUUACUAUGGGAAAUGCAAUGGAAAAAGCUGUUGAAGCCCAUUCUUUCCAAAUGUGAUUUAGGUGCUGUGCUGGGAGAAGGGGAAGAAGGCCUUGAAGCUUUGGCGGGGGAGGGGGAGUUCUCUAGUUUGGAAGACCAGGUCAUGUUACCUGCUGCUGUCUUAGAUGACAUCAAAACUGCUGCAAAAAAGUGGUAUUUUAAAAAUACCUGACGGAACUACCCCCCUCUAAAACUUUUCUUUGAUCCAUCAAGGGAUUGAAGAGAUAUUUAUUAAAUUUGUCGACCACGUCCGAGAGGCCAUUGAACACCAGAUAGACAAUGUUGAUUCCAGGGAUGAGCUCUUGAGGAAAAUGGCAAUGUCCAACGCCAAUGUGGAAACAAAAAAUAUCCUCAGAGCUCUCCCCCAGGAGCCCGAGCCAACCAUACCACAGAUGGUCAAUGCAUGCACCAAGGCCUCCUCUCUAGAAAACAUCUGGGCCUUGGCUGUCAGUAAGGGAGUCGGGGAGGCAGUGGUGAACAUAAACAAUGUCAGGUGUUUUAACUGUGGCCAAUUAGGCCAUUUCCAAGGUAACCGUCCUCAUUUGCCCCCCGGACAUUUUAAUUCACCCUCUGUGCCUUCACCAAGAAUGCCCAGAAACCACCAAUCCCUAUUUGCCCCAGACAUUUUAAUUCCCCCUAUGUGCCUUUGCCAAGAAUGCCUGGAAACCACCAAUCCCCACACCAUCCGGGAAACAGGUGGCAGAGCGCGUGGCAGCUCCACGCGGAGACACCAAAUGGCAGGCCGUGUCACCAAAGUCUCCCGACCAUCCAGGAGACCCAGUUCCCGGACAGCUCAUUUCCCAGGAUCGGAGCCAUGAAGAAGGACUCAGGCCCUUCAGGAGAACCCGCAACAUAAACCAAGACACUGGUAGGAUUUUAUACAGCUGCAUCCACCUGUUUUUCGUCGACGAGGAUCUGGUAAGGUCUCUGCAGGGUACCUGGGUCCCCCUUACCACGACCACAGCACCACCGUGUUCCUCCUCGGAGACUCUCGCAUUACACCGCACAAACUUACCGUCCUCCCCGAGGUGGUGACCAUCGAUCCUGGAAAUGAAAUCACUGGUUCUGUAAUGUGUUAUAACCCACCCUAUACCCUGUGCAAAGGGUCCCCCUUUGCUCAAAUGUAUAUUUUAUCCGGACAAGACUAUCCAAAUGAUGACAAGGAUGUCCAUGUUUAUUACUCUAAGAAUUUAAGUAGGCAAAGACCACCUAUCUCCUCUGUUAUAUCCCAAAAAGGGUGAUUCGUCGAACUGGACGUGAUGGCAGACACCGAUGCAGAUAUUACCAUUCUUCACAGGGCAGAGUGGCCUCGCGACUGGGAGUUCAUGUCCCCUUGUGGCACAAUUUCUGGCAUCAGGGAAGCUGUCAAUUCCUUGCGAAGCAAGCAUCUGGUAAGCGUGGAAGGGUCUGAGGGGCAGAUUGUCACCACUUGGCCAUUUGUUGUUUCUUCUAACAUCAGAUUACUUGGAAGGGAUGUUUUGUCCCAGUGGGGAGCCUGCCUCAAUAUCCCUGACCCCAAGUGGGAUUUUUAGUAUGGGCCACUGCAGAGUGCACAGCCUCACCUCUGAAUUGGAAGACCAACACACCAGUGUGGGCGGAUCAGUGGCCCCUCCCAGAAGAAAAAUUGACCGCGCUGCAUGAAUUAGUUGAGGAGCAAUUGUGCCUGGGGCACCUUGUACCAUCCACCAGUCCCUGGAUCACCCCUGUCUUUGUUACUAUAAUCCUGGCAAAGACAAGUGGCACUUGCUGCAAGACCUACGUAAGGUCAAUGAGGUUGUCGAGGAUAUAGGCCCCCUACAACCUGGCCUCCCUUCUCCCUCCAUGCUUCCUCGGGAUUUGCAGCUCACGAUCCUUGAUAUCAAGGAUUGCUUUUUGAACAUCCCGCUGUACCCCGGAGAUGUUCCCAGGUUUGCAUUCUCUGUUCCAUCUGUCAGCCAUGGAGAGCGCUUCAAAAGAUAUCACUGGGUCACUUUGCCCCAGGGAAUGAAAAAUUCCCCGGUGCUCUACCAAACUUUUGUCACACAAGUGUUGUCUCCUGUGUGCAAGAUGCUCCUAGAAGCUAUAAUCUUACACUACAUGGACAACGUACUAAACUUAGACUCAGCACUAUCCAACACUGUGGCAGCAAUCGAAAACAGGAUUUCAGAUAGCUGAGGACAAAAUUCAGCUAUCGAGCCCAUGGAAGUACCUCAGGUUUUUAAUCAUGGGAAGGACCAUCAUGCCCCAAAGCUUGUCCAUCAACGAACAUCCUAAGACCUUAAGAGAUAGGCAACAGCUGUGCAGUAUCAUCACAUGGAUCCAACCUUUCCUGGUCUUCACCACAAAGGAGGUGGCACCGCUCAUCCACUUUCUGCAGGGAGAUGGCGACCUGGCUUCCCCACGCUCGAUAACACCGGAAGUCCCUGAGGCCUUGGAGAAAGUUGCUGAUGCCAUCAAGCACUGCCAGGCACAUCGGAUUGACCGGUCCCUUCCCCUCAAUCUCGGUAUUUUUUGUAAGUGCCGAACUUCCAUGCAUUGCUUUUUCAGUGGGAUGACUUUUCCAAAGACCCACUCAUUAUUAUCGAGUGGCUUUUUCUGCCGCACCAACCACACAAGACAGUCACCACUCCACGGGAACUCAUAGCCAAACUUAUUAUCAAAGGCCGACAUGGUCUCCGGACCCUUGCAGCUUGUGAUCUGGCGUGCAUUUAUCUUCCUUAUUCCCUUGAACAAUUGGAUUCUCUAUUACGAACAAAUGAACAUCUUGAAAUUCCAUUAGACAGCUAUCCCGGACAAAUUUAAAUUCAUUAACCUAAACAUAGGCUUUUUAGAGAUUCACUACAUUUGGCUCCAAAAUCAUACAAAAGCAAAACCCCAAUCAAGAAGCUGUCACAGUGUUCACUGAUGGUUCAGGCAAAUCCCACAAGUCAGUGUUCACCUGGAGGGACCUGGACACUCAGAAGUGGGACUCUGAUGUCCAGGUUGUUGAAGGUUCCCGCCAGAUUGCAGAACUCGCUACAGUUGUGAGAGCAUUCCAAAAAUUUCAACAACCCUUUAAUUUGGUCACAGAUUUGACGUAUGUUGCCGGGAUAGCAGAGCGAGCAGAGCAUGCCCUGCUCAAAGAAGUACAGAAUAAAAAAUUAUAUAGCUUGCUCUCUGAAUUAAUUUGGCUCAUCUCCCACAGAGAGCAACCUUAUAACGUCCUGUACCACACAGAGCUGCCAGGAUACAUCACUGAGGGCAACGGGAAGGCAGACUUGUUAGUGAUGGCGGUGAAUGCCACUCACAUUUCCCCAGCUGUACCACAAGUCUUUCAACAGGCUCGUCUAAGUCACACAUUUUUUCAUCAGAAUGCUCCCACUUUAGUGCAUCAAUUGAAGACCUCCAGAGACCAAGCCAAAGCAAUUGUCUCCACCUGCCCCAAUUGCCAGUCCCUAGCCCUUCCAUCUGUAGCAUCAGGGGUCAACCCCCAAGAGGCUUGGGAGCUCUGGAAUUGUGGCAAACUGAUGGGACACACGACACCCCAUUUGGACUCCUCAAAUACAUACACAUCUCAGUAGACACAUUCUCUGGAGUUGUGUUCGCAUCCACCCACACAGGAGAGAAAACAAAAGAUAUCAUAAAGCCUUUCUAUAUGGCAUUUGCCAACCUAGGCGUCCCAAAAGCUAUAAAAACAGAUAACGGCCGUGGGUUCAGCACAAAUCAGUUUAAGGAAUUCACACAAUUGUGGGGCAUCAGCCACUGUACUGGCAUCCCUUAUAACCCCCUGGCCAGUCAGUAGUUGAGAGAGUGCACAAAGAAAUAAAAAGAAUGCUUGAGCAACAGCACAAUGCUGAUCUAACCAUGUUUCCAACAGAGAGACUUUGCAAAGCACUUUAUGUCAUUUACUUUACAAACUGUUCUCUAAGAGAGCCAAAUCCGCCCAUUCUCAGGCAUUUCCAUACCAACACCUAUGCACAUUUAAAGGAGAGACCUCCUGUUUUAAUAAAAGACCCAGACUCAAAAUGUAUUAAAGGUCUGUACCCCCUGAUAACCUGGGGAAGAGGGUACGGGUGUGUUUCCACAGAGCAGGGCCCACGAUGCAUCCCAGGGAAAUUCAUCAAACCCUCCCUGGACACCGCAGCAGAUGAUAAUACUACAUCAGACUACCUCAACGUGCCCCCACCGCAGAACAGUUCCGAGAACGCUGUUGCCUGGCGACGCCAAAGAAAGAAGCCUGUCCAGCCAAACAUCAUUGCUGAAGUUCUAAUAUUUUGUUAUAUUGGAAAUAUUUUCCAAUGUUAAAUGACUCUACAGGUUCCUUUAUACCCUCUCCUGAAAUCCCAGUAGCAUUUCCCUCAUACCACUUCCCUCGAUCUCUCCCGUAACCCCUACCCAUUACCCCCAUAACCAACCUUACCUAUGUCUUUAACCUAUUAAUUAAAAUUAGGAGGACACAGAAAGAAAAACCAAAGAUCUAAUAUAUAGUGGGGACAAAACAAAGAAAAUAACCGUGACAACUAACUUUACUAUUCCUGUUUCUAUCAGUGCUCAAACAGUCUAUACCUGAUUCAUUUGAGAAGCAGAUGCCCACUCCCAGGACACCCCAAAACAUCUUAAGAGCGGCCACCACCAUCACUGCCCUCCUGUGCAUCCAAACAUCGGUCGGAUGGGUCGUGCCACAACCGAAAGAAAAUGUAUAGAUCACACUAGUGAAAUCUCUCAAACAAGAUAAUUUUUGCAUGGCCAUGGGAAGCGUAGAAGACCUGCUGUCUACAUGUCUGGAGGGAAUCCCCCUGUCACCAAACGAAUACCCAUAUACAGGUAAGAAACCCACCCCAAUGUAGACUUGGGAUGAUUGGAUGACGACUCUACCACAUGCACCACAAGAGCCCCAGCAACUAGACCUACUGGGCUCCUCAAAAGCGACUUACUGUGUAAAUUUUUCUGUGAACCACCCAAACAAAAUUGUCCGGAAAUAACUAAGCCACAGAUGAUUGUGAGAAAAGAUGUAUCUCCAAAUGAUAAAAGAUACAACGUUGUUGAGUGGUGCAAUUAUACUGCUGAAACAUUGUCUAAGUCCUCUCCAUUUCCCAGAGUGCUCCCCAGGGCAGUAUUUCUCAUCUGCAGCCACAGGGAUCCCCUUGAAGAUCAAAGGAGGCCCCUGCAGCCUUGAUCAGCUUACGACCCUUACCCCAACACUACUCAAAUUAAAUAUUGGAAGUGAGAAACUCAAUUGACACACCAAAAACGAUCAAACUCUCAAUUCAACCAAAAUUGUGAUGACCAAAUUUACAACAGGGGCAAGACGAAGAGGGGUAGCUGUGUCCAUAUUUUUGCCAUGGGUUGCAGCUGCCAAGGCUCUCGGUGAGCUUUCUCACCUGGAGUGCUGGCUCAGUAAGCCGACCAACGCUACAUCUGCCACCCUAUCAGACCUCUUGGUGGACAAAGAAACCACCAGACAUGCCACCCUCCAGAACAGAGCGGCAAUCAACUUCCUGCUGCUCGCCCAUGGCCAUGGUUGUGAGGAUUUUGAAGGACUUUGUGGUUUUAACCUUUCUUCAAGAAGCACGUCGAUCUGAGCCAACAUCAACCAAAUGCAAGACCAAAUGAAGACUCUUCUUACUGAUAAGAAGGUUGUGGACAUGAUGGACAAAACACUUAUGCAAUGGGGCGUUCCUGGGAGAGUGGCCCCCAUUCUUAAGAGUUUACAGUGGGUCUUUCUCAUCCUUGCUGUACUCUCAACAGCACUGAAGUGUUUUAAGAAAACCAGGGACAAAACUUUAGGAAAUGUUUAUUUAAUAAAUAAAAAGGGGGAAUAUGUGGGAGAUAGUCAUGGGAAUGAUGGGGCUGGAAUGCCCUGGGAGGACAGUGCUGUUUAGUUAGAGGCUGGCACAAAUCCCCAGGAGUCUCUGGUUGUUAAUGUGCUGUUGUCACUCAACUGCUGUUCAUCCCCCUGUUCUAGAGAGUUCUGUGCCCCCUCUUCCCCCACUGGCUUUCCCUGGGAAACCACCCCCACUCUGCUCCCUCACUGGUGGACCCCCAGUCAUCCCAUUUCAACUCCUCCCCCGACUCCCUUCCCCAUUGCAUGAUUUGUACCCUGACCCCUCCUACCUUUCCCCAGUGAUAUACCCUGGCCCAUCCCCUGCUGGUUGCUCUUGGCCCCUGGUUCUCUUCAGCAGAGGUUGUGCUCCUGUUUGUUCUCCUCACCCUCACCCCACGUGGACCCCUGGAUCUUCCCUAAACAAACCCUGCUGGAUCUGCCAAGCCAAGAGUGCCCUCGUCUGUCUGAGACUCCUGAAACUUAUGUUGGUUUGAUGUGACCAACAGAAGAGUUUGGCUCUGCUUUUAAUUGAAACAAGCAGCAGAGCUGGAACCUGUUGAAGAGAGUCUCUUCACAGCUAAAGGAAACUGCCAGGGUUCUUUUUUUCCAGCUCGGGGCAGGAAAAUAAAAAUCUCUCCGCAGUAAA